rnacentral:rRNA from 1 species
GAUGAACGCUAGCGGCAGGCCUAAUACAUGCUAGUCGGACGGGAUCUGUCGGAGAGCUUGCUCGAAGAUAGUGAGAGUGGCGCACGGGUGCGUAACGCGUGAGCAACCUACCCAUAUCAGGGGGAUAGCCCGGAGAAAUCCGGAUUAAGACCGCAUAACACUGUGAUUUGGCAUCAUGUUACAGUUAAAUAUUUAUAGGAUAUGAAUGGGCUCGCGUGACAUUAGCUGGUUGGUGAGGUAACGGCUCACCAAGGCGACGAUGUCUAGGGGCUCUGAGAGGAGAAUCCCCCACACUGGUACUGAGACACGGACCAGACUCCUACGGGAGGCAGCAGUAAGGAAUAUUGGUCAAUGGGCGGAAGCCUGAACCAGCCAUGCCGCGUGCAGGACGACUGCCCUAUGGGUUGUAAACUGCUUUUGUCGAGGAAUAAACCUAUCUACGUGUAGAUAGCUGAACGUACUCGAAGAAUAAGGAUCGGCUAACUCCGUGCCAGCAGCAGCCGCGG